GAGACAGACAGACAGGUUGAGAGACAGACGGACAGGUAAAGGGACAGGUAGAGAAACAGAUGGACACGUAAAGGAACAGGUAGAGAGACAGACGGACAGGUAAAGGGACAGGUAGAGAGACAGACAGACAGGUUGAGAGACAGACGGACAGGUAAAGGGACAGGUAGAGAAACAGAUGGACACGUAAAGGAACAGGUAGAGAGACAGACGGACAGGUAAAGGGACAGGUAGAGAGACAGACGGACAGGUAGAGAAACAGAUGGACACGUAAAGGAACAGGUAGAGAGACAGACGGACAGGUAAAGGGACAGGUAGAGAGACAGACGGACAGGUAGAGAAACAGAUGGACACGUAAAGGAACAGGUAGAGAGACAGACGGACAGGUAAAGGGACAGGUAGAGAGACAGACAGACAGGUUGAGAGACAGACGGACAGGUAAAGGGACAGGUAGAGAAACAGAUGGACACGUAAAGGAACAGGUAGAGAGACAGACGGACAGGUAAAGGGACAGGUAGAGAGACAGACGGACAGGUAGAGAAACAGAUGGACACGUAAAGGAACAGGUAGAGAGACAGACGGACAGGUAAAGGGACAGGUAGAGAGACAGACGGACAGGUAGAGAAACAGAUGGACACGUAAAGGAACAGGUAGAGAGACAGACGGACAGGUAAAGGGACAGGUAGAGAGACAGACGGACAGGUAAAGGGACAGGUAGAGAGACAGACAGACAGGUUGAGAGACAGACGGACAGGUAAAGGGACAGGUAGAGAGACAGACGGACAGGUAAAGGGACAGGUAGAGAGAGAUGCUUGUACCUUUGUGUUCAGGUAUUGACAGUCCAAUAGCUUUGGCGUGUCAGCUUUGAUUGGUUUGUAUGCGAUUGACUUUUGUGCAACACAGUUUUUCUUGGCAGAAAACCAUUUUUGUUUUCCUAGCCUACUGACUGUUAAUUCAUUUAAAAUCCUCAGAGGCAGGUAAUGACACACACACACACACACACACACACACACACACACACACACACACACACACACACACACACACACACACGUAGCGUGUAGGAACCACUCCAGCUCAGGUAAUGAAAGAUUGUGAGAUAGAGAUAAGGGUUGUAAGUAUUUUUCACUCAAAUGCACUUCGUUCUCUUGCACACCAUCUCUACCUUGCUCCCUCUCUCUCUCCCCUCUCUCCUGCUCUCUUUCUCUCCCUUCCCCUCACCUCCUCUCUCUCUCUCCCCUCUCUCCUGC